rnacentral:rRNA from 1 species
GGGAUAAGAAACUAAAUAGGAUUCCCUUAGUAAUGGCGAAUGAACAGGGAUCAGCUCAGCAUGGAAAUUGGGGCCCUCGGCCUUGAAUUGUAGUCUCGAGAUGUAUCGCCAACGGAGGCGCAGAUGUAAGCCUCUUGGAAAGGAGCAUCAACGAGGGUGAGAGUCCCGUUUGUCAUCUGCAGUCCCCCGUGCACGGCAUACCUUCUAAGAGUCGCGUUCCUCGGAAUUGGAGCGUAAAUUGGGUGGUAAAUUUCAUCUCCAAGCUAAAUAUUGGUUCGAGACCGAUAGCAAACAAGUACCAUGAGGGAAAGAUGAAAAGGACUUUGAAAAGAGAGUUAAAAGUGCCUGAAAUUGCUGAAGGGAAGCGAAUGGAACCAGUGUUGCUUGGCAAGAUUGUCGGGUGCAUGACGCGCUUGAUCGUCUCUUGCCUUGUGUGUCAACGCCUGUUCGCGAUCGAGGAAAACUCCCAGGGUCAUGGUAGCUCGUCUGCGGGUGAGUGAAUAGCCUUGGCAGAACUCAUUUGCGGACUGUUUCUUUCGUGUCUGGUUGCAGUGUCCUUGGCAUUCUGGAAGCUCGUCUUGGCUUGCCACUGGCGGGGGACCUGGGUGACUUGGGCAUUUCCCUGACACAAAGACGAUGACUAAAUGGUUCUAUUCGACCCG